rnacentral:rRNA from 1 species
AGAGUUUGAUCCUGGCUCAGGAUGAACGCUGGCGGCGUGCCUAACACAUGCAAGUCGAGCGAUUCUCUUCGGAGAAGAGCGGCGGACGGGUGAGUAACGCGUGGGUAACCUGCCCUGUACACACGGAUAACAUACCGAAAGGUAUGCUAAUACGGGAUAACAUAAGAAAUUCGCAUGUUUUUCUUAUCAAAGCUCCGGCGGUACAGGAUGGACCCGCGUCUGAUUAGCUAGUUGGUGAGGUAACGGCUCACCAAGGCGACGAUCAGUAGCCGACCUGAGAGGGUGAUCGGCCACAUUGGAACUGAGACACGGUCCAAACUCCUACGGGAGGCAGCAGUGGGGAAUAUUGCACAAUGGGCGAAAGCCUGAUGCAGCAACGCCGCGUGAGCGAUGAAGGCCUUCGGGUCGUAAAGCUCUGUCCUCAAGGAAGAUAAUGACGGUACUUGAGGAGGAAGCCCCGGCUAACUACGUGCCAGCAGCCGCGGUAAUACGUAGGGGGCUAGCGUUAUCCGGAUUUACUGGGCGUAAAGGGUGCGUAGGCGGUCUUUUAAGUCAGGAGUGAAAGGCUACGGCUCAACCGUAGUAAGCUCUUGAAACUGGAGGACUUGAGUGCAGGAGAGGAGAGUGGAAUUCCUAGUGUAGCGGUGAAAUGCGUAGAUAUUAGGAGGAACACCAGUAGCGAAGGCGGCUCUCUGGACUGUAACUGACGCUGAGGCACGAAAGCGUGGGGAGCAAACAGGAUUAGAUACCCUGGUAGUCCACGC